CGGCAACAGCUCAAAUUUGAAACCUGGCGCAAGCCCGGAUUGUAAUUUGUAGAGGAUGCUUCUGGGCAGCGGCCGUUCUAAGUUCCUUGGAACAGGACGUCAUAGAGGGUGAGAAUCCCGUAUGUGACCGGCGCGCACCCUCCACGUAGCUCCUUCGACGAGUCGAGUUGUUUGGGAAUGCAGCUCUAAAUGGGUGGUAAAUUCCAUCUAAAGCUAAAUAUUGGCCAGAGACCGAUAGCGCACAAGUAGAGUGAUCGAAAGAUGAAAAGCACUUUGGAAAGAGAGUUAAAAAGCACGUGAAAUUGUUGAAAGGGAAGCGCUCACAACCAGACUCCGCGGCGGUGUUCCGCCGGUCUUCUGACCGGUCCACUCGCCGCCGUGGGGCCAACAUCGUCUGGGGCCGCCGGAUAAGACCGUAGGAAUGUAGCUCAUUGAGUGUUAUAGCCUGCGGUGAUGCGGCGCGUCCCGGGCGAGGUCCGCGCUUCGGCAAGGAUGUUGGCGUAAUGGUUGUCAGCGACCCGUCUUGAAACACGGACCAAGGAGUCUAACAUCUAUGCGAGUGUUCGGGUGUCAAACCCCUACGCGUAAUGAAAGUGAACGGAGGUGGGAAGCGUAAGCUGCACCAUCGACCGAUCCUGAUGUCCUCGGAUGGAUUUGAGUAAGAGCAUAGCUGUUGGGACCCGAAAGAUGGUGAACUAUGCCUGAAUAGGGUGAAGCCAGAGGAAACUCUGG
rnacentral:rRNA from 1 species